CGGGUCCUAUGCAUCGAGCGGUGGCAGAACCCCGUCAGGACCGGAAGGUAGCAGCGGCAUGUUAUACGAGCGAGUGCCGUAGGUCGCCUGGU
rnacentral:SRP_RNA from 1 species